CACCACAUAAACAGAAAGGAGCUGAAAGUGGCACUGUGGCUCAAGUGGUAGAGUGCUAGUGAGUUCAUGCCCCAGGACUGGCAGAAAAAAAAAAAAAAAAGGCUUUUAAAUCCCCAAAUUGCUAGACUUGGGAACAUAUUAUAUCCAACCUCUUUCCACAAUAGUAGAUAACAAUUUCCAUUCUAAUGGUGUCAGAAACUAUGAAAACUCAUCUUUCCUAGUAAAGUAACUCAAUUUGCUCUAAAUAACAUGCCCUAUAUCUCAUCACACCUCAUCGUUACACAUCUUUUCUACCUCCUGUAAAUAUUGACUUACAGUCGAGGAAAAUCUUGGAUACCUUUUGGCACUAUUACCAUAAUACUGCCAAGGCAAAUUGAACUCACUAAAAUGGGUCCACAAACAUACCAAUGACAUUUGUUAACCAAACAGAGCCAUUUGUUUCAAAUCAUAAGGUACUGAAGUAGUGAGUAUCGCCCACCCAUGGUUAAUUUUAUUAUCACUAUAAUCCUGGACGAGUACACACUUUUCUCACUAAAUUCCUUUUAAACUAUUAAAAGAAGCUUGGAACAGGACUCUUACAUAUUGUCAUGAGCAUUAAAUCUGAGAGAAAUUAGUUGACUACAAACCAAAAUGAAACAAAAAAUCUUUCUGAGGCUGAAAUCCCACUUAUCCUUUGCCAAACUGACCUCCACCAAAUUAAUUUAGAUUAUUUGUGCCUAAGUUUCCUUCCAUGUAAAUUGGAGGUGGUAGUCCAGGUACUAGCAUUUUAAUCAGUUGGCAAAAUGUCUAAGAGGAUAUACACACUGCAGACAGUUGUCCCUGUCA